rnacentral:rRNA from 1 species
AUUGAACGCUGGCGGCAUGCCUUACACAUGCAAGUCGAACGGCAGCACGGGAGCAAUCCUGGUGGCGAGUGGCGAACGGGUGAGUAAUAUAUCGGAACGUGCCCGGUCGUGGGGGAUAACGUAGCGAAAGCUACGCUAAUACCGCAUACGAUCUACGGAUGAAAGCGGGGGAUCGCAAGACCUCGCGCGAUUGGAGCGGCCGAUAUCAGAUUAGGUAGUUGGUGAGGUAAAGGCUCACCAAGCCGACGAUCUGUAGCUGGUCUGAGAGGACGACCAGCCACACUGGGACUGAGACACGGCCCAGACUCCUACGGGAGGCAGCAGUGGGGAAUUUUGGACAAUGGGCGCAAGCCUGAUCCAGCAAUGCCGCGUGCAGGAUGAAGGCCUUCGGUUGUAAC